rnacentral:miRNA from 1 species
CAAUAAUUGGCCUUGUUCCUGAGCUGUUGGAUUCGGGGCCGUAGCACUGUCUGAGAGGUUUACAUUUCUCACAGUGAACCGGUCU